UAAGAGCAAAAGCCCUCAUAUUUAGAUACAUCUUACAUCCUGUAAUUUGGAAUUAGUCCAGACAGUUCACAUUGAGAUUCUCACCCUCUUUCCUCACAGGUGAAGAUUUCACAAGGCCAGCUUCCAGCUGAGGACCAAAAAGAGUUUAGAAUAGGAAAUACUGAAAGACUGUAAGCUACUGGCAUAGAACAGAGAAGAGAAAGAUGCUGUGGGGAGAAUGUUGGAAGCAGCACAGUAGGAGGUACUGGAAGGCUGGCAUAAGGUCUCUCCAGGGCCUCCUCUGCUCCAGGUUGAACAACCCCAACUGUCUCAGCCUGCCUUCACAGAUACUGAGAUGAAAUUGGGAUCGCUUACUCAGCUGUACAGUUAUACAGCAUAAUGCCAUGGGGAUUUAGGCCCUUAUUUGUAAGCAGUUAAGAUGCUUUGAAAGGUCAAAUUAACUCUGUUUUGCUUUGCUGAUUGAUUCCCUAGCCUGCAAUCUCAAAAAUACCAGAAGAUGCUUCUAAGUAAAAUCAAGUACCUCCCCAGUGCACAUAUAUACAUAUCUGCAUCUAUGUGUUGGUGAAAAGUUAUUUUUCUUAGCUGAAAGCCUCAAUUCAAGGGAGCAAGGAACCUUCAUUUGAAUAUUUGUCUAGACUAAUUAUCCACUAGAUAAAAUCUGCCAUGUAGUUAAGAAGAUUUAGGUCCUGGGUGUUCAUGGAUUACCAGCUACUAGGAUCUUAACACAUCCCCAAAACUCUUCACAGUUUCGGAAAUGACUUUAGUAGCCUAUGCCAGGUAGGAAUGAGACUUCAGGAGUCAAUAAAGCAAGGCAUAGCAAUAGACUAUCCCAAAUAUGCUAGUUUGUUCAGAAGAGGUGAGAAAGAAAUAUCAAUGCUUAUUAGGAGAUACCAAAUGUUAGUAAAAACUACAUGAAAAUGUGAGGUGAGUGAAAAAUCGAUCCAGAAGUCUCCACUCUGAAGCCAUCGGUAAAACAUUUCUGCUGCUAUGGAAGACGCAAGGUAAAUUAGGUUUACUUUUCACCAACUCAUAAAAAGUUCUCUUCCAUAGAAAUUUCUCUAAGCACAUUCUGCGUUAACUGACUGCCAACCUCCAGAACUUAUGGGAGCUGCCUUUGUUGUUCACAGUAGGACUUUGGUUCAUUGUUUGCUAUCCAACCAAUACUAUUAAUCAAAACCAGAGCUAUGAAUAAGCUAAAUUUUGAAGGCAUACAUAGUGAACGUGUAUUUCUUCCUCAGAAAUCUGAUUAAGUUUUCCUGCACUAACUUUUACGGGUCAAUAAUGAACUUAUUUUGAAUAUCCUCUGUUAACUGUCCAGUUAUGAUCAUACCACUUUCAGGAAAGUGUUGAAAACAUUGGUCCUCCUAAUGGUUUGUUGUGAUAAAACUAUACCACCCAAACGUACUGAAAAAUGAAAGUGGGAUUAAAUUCUGCAGUUUUGGGAAGCAGAAGAAAAUUCCAAGCUGGAUCAAUUGGAAGAAAAAGAAUCAAAACAAAAAAUGUAAAAUUAAAUGGGCAACUCUCUAAGAUUGCUUAAAGAAAACUAUGAUCCUUCAGAGAAAAACAACUAUGUUAGGUAAAAUAACCCUGUGACACAGUCUAGAAGGAAGGUAGAAGUGUGCAUAUAAAAAUAAUAGUACAAAAGAAAGUUAGGAAAUGAAAGAAGAGGGAAGAGUCUCAUAAGUCAUAAAGAUUAGGCGCUUGGAACUGCAAAAAAUUAUAAGGGAAGCAAAAGAAAAGGAGAAAUAACUUGGCAGCUGAUUACGAAAUAAUAGGGUUUUUUGUGUAUGAAGAAUUCAGAUAACCCUAAAAAUAGGACUGGCUUUUAGAGGAUAAGAUGGUAGAACUAACAAAAAUAACCAAGUAAAAUUCUUCAUUAAGUGUUUUCUUCCAAUAAGUCUUGUGUUUAUGGCAAGCAAUAAAAUGUUUUCGUAAAACAAUACAUGCUUUCAAAUACAUUACUUUCAAAUUGAACAGAAAGCAUUAUGAUAUUGAACAGAACUGCUUAAAAUACACCAGUGGAUCUAUAUAGAUUAUUUUAUAGAAUUUUAAAAUUUAUGUGAGAUACUUCUAUUGUUUAUGUUGAAUUUCAAUAUGUAUUAGGGCAAUGUGGUAAAUUCUGAAAUUCAUUGUUUGGCUGUUGUGUGCUAGGAGUUCACAUAAGCAAUUGGCAUGAGCUCAGUAUUCAAAUGACUAUCAGAAAGACCCAAAAGCAGUAAUACAAUUGCUAGUAUAGAAUGAUAUUAAAAAUAAAACCACCAGUGCUCAUUAUACUUCUCUAGUCAACCAAUGGUUUUCCUUUUUUAUGAGUAUACUGCUUUAAUAACAGUGUUUUCAAUAAAAGUAGUUAUUUUUUUAAGACAUCCCCAAGUUUUAUAGGAGGUUUCUGUUAAUGUGAAAAACAGUCUAAGGGUGUAAAGUUAAUAGAACUGUUCAAUUCUGAAGUAUUUUCUGGGCUUUUCUGCCAAUAUGGGUUAUUAAAAAUGAGGCUCAGCCAACAGCAGAUGAGCAUUGUGGACAUUAAUGAGAUUAAAGUUUGAUUGACUGAUAAGUUUCAAAAUGCAACUAUAAACAGGAAUCUUCUUAGUGAACGUUAUACUGGGUUCUGCAAGGCUUAGUUCUUAACUGUAUUCUAUUCAAUAUGCUUAUCAGUGCUUUGGAAGAAAACAAAAAAUCAUUAUUAAUGUGGUUUGUAGAUGCUACAAAGAUUGUAAAACUGUAAAAAUCUUGAAAAGGAUUAGAGGUGCAUAAUGUGUAAUCAGCUGAACAUGAGCUCCUAUUUCAAAAGAAGUAAUGCAUUCUUCUGCUGCGUAAAUAUAAUAAAAUAUUAUAUUGGAUCAGAAAGAUCAUAGUCCCUUUGUUCUUGGUAGCAAUGCAAAUAAAUUGCCUAGUGACGCAAUUUGUACUGGUGUCCACAGCGCCCAAAAAUUUUGAUGAAUUGAAGGAUACAGAGAAGAUGUAUGGAAUGACUUAAGUAUUGUAAAAUAGCCCUAAUAGUAAUUCUCUCCAGGAGCAUAAAGCUGCUUAGCUCGAUAAAAAGAAGACCAAGGGAUAUAUUAGUAGCUGUAUGAAAACCAGGAAAUUGAUAAAAGAGGGGUAUUUAGUCAG